CAAGGGUGUGAUUCCUCGUGCAAUGGGGGGGGGUGCCGGCCGGGCGCGCCGCUGGAGGGCGCCGGGCCAUGGCUGCUG
rnacentral:SRP_RNA from 1 species